UACGUAGGGUGCGAGCGUUGUCCGGAAUUAUUGGGCGUAAAGAGCUUGUAGGCGGUCUGUCGCGUCCGUUGUGAAAGCUUGGGGGCUCAACCCCAAGUCUGCAGUCGAUACGGGCAGGCUAGAGUUCGGUAGGGGAGACUGGAAUUCCUGGUGUAGCGGUGAAAUGCGCAGAUAUCAGGAGGAACACCGAUGGCGAAGGGCAGGUCUCUGGGCCGAUACUGACGCUGAGGAGCGAAAGCGUGGGGAGCGAACAGG
rnacentral:rRNA from 1 species